UGUCACAUACCUUCUCAUAGAAAUCCCAAAUGAAGUGCAUCAAGAAAGUACUGCUACUCUCCAAUGACAUUGCAGUAUUGUCAGCCAUCCUACAUAGUGAAUCAGUUUAGACACAGAGUUCAUGAAUCCACCCAAGGUUGUCUCUAGAAGACUGCUUCUCACAGGUUUCAUUCAAAUGUCCACAGAAGCCACAGCAGCCAGUUUUGUAGGGGCUCUUUCAGACCGUGGAGAACACUGCACUUGAAAGAAAUGGUUGAUGUAAAGAAGAGCUGUGCUAGAUGGUCAAAAAGAAGAGGCUUCACAUCUGAGAAACUACUAAAAGGAAUGCAGCUCAGGAGCAGAAGGAAUUGUGACCGACAACAGAGGCCAUCCCAGAGAGGUAGGCUCUUAGACAGAAACAAAGCCCUUCCUGUAGGAAGCAGUGGGCCCUGAUGAUAGUGUCCAGGAAGUUGGGAAAGUCUUAUCUUCAUGUUCAUAAAUUUUUCAUUUUUAUACCAACUACAUUCUUCUUGUAAUGUAUCUCAACCAGAGAUAGAGCCCCAGUAAGAUCAACUCAUCCCUGACACAGUUACCAUAAGGAAGUAGCAGAGAGUUGUUCACACUAAG
rnacentral:lncRNA from 1 species